rnacentral:misc_RNA from 1 species
ACGUCCUCCCGUGCACGCCUCUUCAUUCGUGGCCCAUGAGCAAUGUUAGCCUUGGCCGAGUCCCGGUUUCCUGUGUUGCAUACCUACUGUGAAGGCAUUCGCUUGUCCCAUCGUCCCACGUUCGUCUUGUGUUGCCCUUCGGGGUGCCUCACGUGAUGAACCACGAAGCUUCCCUCGUGAUCCAAGACACGCGCGCCGUGUCUUUGGCCCAUGAAGCGUUGCUCGAUCUCUCGGAUGCAGAACGCCUUGAGGGUAUGGGGUCUCACGGCCUCUAUUUUGCCCGAACAAGCGUUCGUCGCUAACUAGCGUACGACUGCUGUCCUCGCCUUCGGCGGUCGUCCCUCCGGGCGGCUUGUCGAUGCUCGGAUAGCGUCGUUGAGGAAUGCU